AACGUCUCCUGAUUAGGGAUUACAAGAGACGUCUCUUCUCUUGCUCUAUCUCUUCUUCUCGUCUCUGCUGUCUCUCUAAUCUCUUUCUCUCUCCUUCUCUCGACUGGAUUCUUGAACUCAUCUUCCCCAUCCACAACCAUGACUGAGGUAGAGAGAGAGAGGAGAACUCAUCUUGUUAAUUUGAAAUUGAUCUGAAGUCUUGUAGAGAGAGGAGAAGUCUUCGAAGUUGAGACCGGCGUUUCCAGGUUGGAUGUAGGACUCGACGGUGGACUUGAGGUCGAGACGAGAGAGAGCUUGGCUUAGCUCCUCGAGGGUGAUGAAACCGUCGCCGUUAUGAUUGAAUAAGUCGAAGAUGCGUUGGAGACGAAGAGCGUUCAAGCUCGGGCUUCGUCGGACAGUAAACUCGUAGACAAAGAGCUCAAGUAGUUUCUAACGAGGCUGUAAAGCUGGUUGCUGCAGGGGACAAGGAUGGGAACGUUGGAUUUUGGAAUCUUGAUUGUCAUAACGAGGAAGAGGAUGGUGGUGUAUCUGUUCAAGCCUCACACUUAUUCAGUUACAUAUCUUUGUCUUUCAACAAAACUCUUUCUCAAAGGGAGUCUGGUGACCCUGGCAAAAGGAAGUCUUGAUAUUUGAUACAGAUAAAGGCAACGAAUAUGAGAACUUGCCGUCCAUGGUGCCUUGGAUAUAAACGAGAAAAGCGGUAUACGAUCAGUACCAACGUAUUUUGGAACUGAGGAAGAGGAUGAUGAUAGUCCAUAUAUGGAAGAGUUUGAUGAGGCUGACAAUGUGGUGGAAAAUGAUACGGUGACUCUUCAGUCAACUUAUCUUGUGGCUCAUGAACAUGAUGAUGAUAACAUUCUCCGAACUCGUACAAAUGAUACUCAGCAUAACCUCGAAAAUUCGUAAGAGAAAAGAUGGUAUUAAAAAGAGGAAGCGACUUAAUUCACCUCCUGACACAGAAAAUAAACUGCCUCUUGAGAACAAUGAUAAUGUCUCAUAACCAGCAAGAGCUCCAUGUAUAACAAGUACCCAACCAGAAAUAGCUCAGUCUUCUGAACCUAAGUUGCAUUUUGCUUCAAGGAGAAAAAUGUUAUACCCAGUGCGGGCACCUUUCACCUGAACACAGCAGCUUCAUCACCAUCAACCUCUCAAAAUCUUGCUAAUGGCAUCUAGCAGCAAGCAAUGGAGCUUGAUCCAGAAUAACAGCAACCAUGGUGAUGGUUGACAUGUAGUUAUCAACUCCAUGUACUCUGAUCAAGACAGAGAUCACUCCCUGAUACUAUUUUCUUUCUUUCAUUUUUACUAUGAAGUGAACUUUUAGUUUAACUU